CUUCACCGAGCCGAGCACCAGCGGCACGUCCCGGUCCUGGCCGUACGUGGCCAGCACCGCCUGCGCCUC
rfam:Nocardia sp. NRRL S-836 P437contig2.1, whole genome shotgun sequence.